rnacentral:rRNA from 1 species
UUGUAAGUAAUGAAGAGCGUAC